rnacentral:rRNA from 1 species
CCUACGGGAGGCUGCAGUGAGGAAUAUUGGUCAAUGGACGCAAGUCUGAACCAGCCAUGCCGCGUGCAGGAAGACGGCUCUAUGAGUUGUAAACUGCUUUUGUACGAGGGUAAACGCAGAUACGCGUAUCUGUCUGAAAGUAUCGUACGAAUAAGGAUCGGCUAACUCCGUGCCAGCAGCCGCGGUAAUACGGAGGAUUCAAGCGUUAUCCGGAUUUAUUGGGUUUAAAGGGUGCGUAGGCGGUCGGAUAAGUUAGAGGUGAAAGCCCGAGGCUCAACUUCGGAAUUGCCUGUGAAACUGUACGGCUAGAGAGUAGUAGCGGUGGGCGGAAUGUGGGGUGUAGCGGUGAAAGGUUUAGAGAUCACAAAGAACCCCGAUUGCGAAGGCAGUUCACCGGACUAC